rnacentral:rRNA from 1 species
GAUGAACGCUGGCGGCGUGCCUAACACAUGCAAGUCGAGCGAACCCUUCGGGGUGAGCGGCGGACGGGUGAGUAACGCGUGGGUAACCUGCCCUGUACACACGGAUAACAUACCGAAAGGUAUGCUAAUACGGGAUAAAGUAUGAGAGUCGCAUGGCUUUUGUAUCAAAGCUCCGGCGGUACAGGAUGGACCCGCGUCUGAUUAGCUAGUUGGUAAGGUAACGGCUUACCAAGGCAACGAUCAGUAGCCGACCUGAGAGGGUGAUCGGCCACAUUGGAACUGAGACACGGUCCAA